AUCCUUUUGUAGUUCACGAGCAUGAUGACUGGGUGUUCGUGCAUUUGUGUGACAUGUGCCUACCUCUAACCUUGUUACGACAUUGACACAUUACCUGUCUGAUG
rnacentral:snoRNA from 1 species